GACGAACGCUGGCGGCGUGCCUAAUACAUGCAAGUCGAACGCAUUUUCUUUCACCGUAGCUUGCUACACCGAAAGAAAAUGAGUGGCGAACGGGUGAGUAACACGUGGGUAACCUGCCCAUCAGCGUGGGAUAACACUUGGAAAAAGGUGCUAAUACCGCAUAAUUCCAUUUACCGCAUGGUAGAUGGAUGAACGGCGCUUUUGCGUCACUGAUGGAUGGACCCGCGGUGGAUUAGCUGGUUGGUGGGGUACAGGCCUCCCAAGGCUGCGCUGCAUAGCCGGCCUGGAGGGGGGAUCGGCCACACUGGGAAUGGAACACGGCCCAGGAUCCUACGGGAGGGAGCAGGAGGGAAAUUUUGGCAAAGGAGGCAAGGCUGGCCGGGCAACGCCGGGGGAGGGAAGAAGGGUUUCGGAUCAGAAAACUCUGUUGUUAGAGAAGAAAAAGAAGGAGAAGGAAAAGUUCAUCCCUUGACGGUAUCUAACCAGAAAGCCACGGCUAACUACGUG
rnacentral:rRNA from 1 species